rnacentral:rRNA from 1 species
AUUGAACGCUGGCGGCAGGCCUAAUACAUGCAAGUCGAACGAGAGGCGGACGGGUGAGCAAUGUAUGGGAAACUGCCUGAUGGAGGGGGAAAAGUACUGGAAAAGGUAGCAACUAGUGCAAACGAUCGGCUGGGCUCAGAUGGGAUUAGCUAGUGGGUGGGGUAAAGGCUCACCUAGGCGACGAUGCCUAGCCGGUCUGAGAGGAUGACCGGCCACACUGGAACUUAGACACGGUCCAGACUCCUACGGGAGGCAGCAGUGGGGAAUAUUGCACAAUGGGCGCAAGCCUGAUGCAGCCAUGCCGCGUGUAUGAAGAAGGCCUUCGGGUUGUAAAGUACUUUCGGCGGGGAGGCGUUACCCGCAGAAGAAGCACCGGCUAACUCCGUGCCAGCAGCCGCGGUAAUAC